rnacentral:rRNA from 1 species
CCUACGGGAGACAGCAGUGGGGAAUAUUGCACAAUGGGCGCAAGCCUGAUGCAGCCAUGCCGCGUGUAUGAAGAAGGCCUUCGGGUUGUAAAGUACUUUCAGUCGUGAGGAAGGCGUUGUAGUUAAUAGCUGCAUCGUUUGACGUUAGCGACAGAAGAAGCACCGGCUAACUCCGUGCCAGCAGCCGCGGUAAU